GAAAUGCGAUAAGUAAUGUGAAUUGCAGAAUUCAGUGAAUCAUCGAAUCUUUGAACGCACAUUGCGCUCGCCAGUAUUCUGGCGAGCAUGCCUGUUCGAGCGUCAUUUCAACCAUCAAGCUCUGCUUGCGUUGGGGAUCCGCGGCUGCUCGCGGUCCCUCAAAAACAGUGGCGGGCUCGCUAGUCACACCGAGCGUAGUAACUCUACAUCGCUAUGGUCGUGCGGCGGGUUCUUGCCGUAAAACCCCCAAUUUCUAAGGUUGACCUCGGAUCAGGUAGGAAUACCCGCUGAACUUAAGC
rnacentral:misc_RNA from 1 species